rnacentral:misc_RNA from 1 species
UACCAUUGCAUCUUCCCAUGUCCAACAUCGUCCAACUUUAUCUAUUGAUGUGUCAUUAACCAGAAAGCUAUGGCAAAAUGACACAGUUUCACAUACCCAAUUGUAUCAAUAUAUGGUGGAACAAAGCUUGUCAGCCCACUAUAGCAUGUGUAAUCUGAAUAUUUCGCGUCUUCUUUCCCAAAUAACUUAGAUCGUACUUUUGACCAUAUUCCAUCUGCCCCAACUAAAACAUCACCAUCAUAUUGCCUACCAUCCUCAAGGAUCACUGUGACCUUGGUAGAAUCUUCCAUGAAAUCAACAACUUUAGAUUUAUUUCUUACUAUGUCUAAACCCACCGCUUUAAGUAAUAUGUCCUGUAGUGCCAUUCUACAUAUUACUCUAGUGACAGGAAGCCCUUUUUUCAAAGCAGGAGUUGAAAGAUCAAACUUAGUAAACC